UCGAUGCCCUUAAAAAAUUAAGAAUCUAGGCUCUGUUGUAGGGCUUCGCGGCACUCCACCGCUAAUCUCCGCUCUUUGAGAGCGCCGCAGGGAAACUUCGCGGCCACCACACUAGGAAUUUUUUCUAAAAGCCGGCCGCGGGAUCGACCCCGUGGCCGGCGUCCUGCGAUUCUAUUUUUACCCGGUUGCCCUUCGAUCUUUCGGUAGUUCGGGUUGUUACGCGAAAUCAGGCUCCGCUCCUUCCCCCUCCUUCUCUCGGGUCGUUCGUUCAUUGGUCAUCUUCUCCGACAGUUCGGCUCAUUCGUCCGUCUUCUUUGACAGUUCGGCCUGUUCGAUCUUCUUCCUUUAUCUACCCGUCGAAACGAAGCCCUGUCCAUCGGUCUCCUUGCUCUUCCAUCCUCUCCCUCAAAGCUCUUCUAUCCUCUCCCUCAAAGCUGCGCAGCCCGUCGAAAGGUCGUUGUGACCUCUGUGGAUCGAGCGUUUCAUGUCGGAAAAGAAAUUGCAACCGAUCUCUUUGGUUAGUGGACACCUUCGAUCGUGGAGAUUGAAGAAUAUAGCGUUAGCCUCUGCAGCGAAAACAGACUCAUUGGGUUUCUCUCCCGGCCGGACCCUGACGAAGCUCUGCUAAGGGAAUCGCUUGCCAGAGCGCUGGACGCCUUGCGAGCCAAUGUGGAGAUGAAGCGUGGGAGGUCCAGGGACAGAGUGGCGGAGCAACUCUUCGCGAUGAACUCAUGCUGGUACAUGUACAUGAGGACACGUGGUUCGGAGCUAGCUCGGCUGGUGGGCUAGGAGGAGAUGAGAGAAAAGUACAGAGCG